GUCUUUUUGUUUUAUAUUUAAAGUCUAGUCUGCCCAAUGAAUAAUUUAAUGGCCGCAGUAUUUUGACUGUGCAAAGGUAGCAUAAUCAUUAGUUUCUUAAUUAGAAACUUGUAUGAAUGGCUGAAUGAGAAAUAAGCUGUCUCUAAUUAAAUUAAAUAGAAUUUUAUUUUUAAGUUAAAAAGCUUAAAUUUUUAUUAAAGACGAGAAGACCCUAUAGAGUUUAAUAGAUUAAUAAUUUAAAUAUUUGAAGAAUUAAAAUUUUUAAUAUAUUAAUUUAUUUUAUUGGGGUGAUAAAAAAAUUUAUAAAACUUUUUUUCUUUUUUUACAAUAAUAAAUGAAUUUUUGAUCCAAUUUUUUUGAUUAAAAGAUUAAAUUACCUUAGGGAUAACAGCGUAAUUUUUUUAGAGAGUUCUAAUCGAUAAAAAAGUUUGCGACCUCGAUGUUGGAUUAAAAUUUAUUAUUGGCGUAGUAGUUAAUUAAUUAAGUCUGUUCGACUUUUAAAAUUUUACGUGAUC
rnacentral:rRNA from 1 species